GUCUGAAUACUUUCCAAACGCACUGUAAGCACACAAACAAAUAGCCACACACUCCCAUGAGCAUGGCCAGGUGAAUGUUGCUUGAAUUGAAUAGUAACAUCUCAAAUUAUGGUUACUUUACAUACAGUGCUUUCGGAAAGUAUUCAGACCCCUUGACAUUUUCCAUAUUUCAGUCUUACUCUAAAAUGUAUUUAAUUGUUUUUUUCCCUCAUCUGUCAUGUCUACUCCCGCUCCAGCGCUCAACGUCGCCGGUCUACUAACCACCAGACCUGGCAAGCGUCAUUACGCACACCUGCACCCCACCAUGAGGCACACCUGGACUCAAUCACUCCCUGAUUACUUCCCCUUUAUCUAGCACUCUGUUGUAUCACCCAUUAUGUAGUAUUGUUUCCUGUUUUCAUAUUUAGAUGCUACUCCUGUUUUUGUAUUCACUCCAUGUUCGUUCCUAUUAAACUCACUGACUACACCUGCUUCCUAUCUCCUACAUCUUCGUUACAGAAUACUACCUCACAGAAUAGAAGCAGCAGCCCCACCCCACCCUCUCGUUGGACGCAUUUAUUGCGAUGGCCAUCCAUCUAGAUAAUCUUCGGAAGCAUCAGCACUCCAAUUGCCUCUCUCCCUACUUCGUUGACCAAUCUGAGUCAGUCUGAACCCUUGGAGGAAGGGGCCACACACCUCGCCAUGGCUGAGCGAUGCUGUCAGAGACAGCUGGGGCUCUGUCCCUAUUGUGGUCAAGCACAAGCUAUUGUGGGCAAGCACCAGCUUUAAGAGUGUCCACUACGUCCCAACCCGGGAGCUACUAGAGCAGAGGGAUGGCCCUGUGAUCAUCUGUUUCCUGAGCACUGGAUACCUGACCACUGAGAUCUGGGACAAUCACACAGAUCACAGAACCACUCACCAUCACCGUGGGACCCCUGCACCAAGAAAACCUUCCCUUCCUCAUCAUCCAGGCACCCGUACACAAAGUCAUCCGUCUCCUGGCCGAGGAUGGAGAUCACGUCCUGGGCAUCCGGUUGUCGGUUUCCUCCUGCUUUUACCCUAUGGUUCACGUCGGUUGAGAGUCCUGUGGUUGCCCUCCAGGCUGCCAUCCCGGUGGUUUACCAGGAUCUCCGGGAGGUUUUCUCCAAGACCCACGCCACCUGUUUCCCUCCACAUAGCCCCUGGAACUGUGCCAUCAACCUGCUAAGACUGCACCGCCACGCAGCCGCCUCUACCCCCUGUUGGUGGCUGAAACCGAUGCUAUGGAGGAGUACAUCCAGGAGGCUCUCCAACAGGGUUUCAUCCACCCAUCCACCUUCUCUGCGUCGGAAUGUUUCUUCUUCGUGGCCAAGAAGGAGGGUGGUCUUCAUCCAUGUAUUGACUACAGUGGUCUCAAUGCCAUCACCUCUAAGUACAACAGCCCCCUUGGUGCCGGCCGCCAUUGAAAUGCUUUGCGGGGCCCCCUUUUUUUUUUUUACCAAGGUGGACUUGUCUACAAUUUGAUCUAUAUUCGGGAAGGCGAUGAAUGGAAGACCGCUUUCAGCAUGAUAUUUGGCCACUACGAGUACUUGGUGACGCCUUAUGGACGAGCCAAUGCUCUGUCAGUGUUCUAGGCAUUUGGGAAUGAGGUCUCGGAACAUGCUUGGUUGUCAGAUUGCUGUGUAUAUUGACAACAUCCUGAUCUAUUGGGCCAUCUUGGAGGAGCACAUCGCCCACGUUCGGGUAAUUCUGGAACUCCUCCUGCAGAACCAUCUGUAUGUCAAAGCGGAGUUGUGCCUGUUACAUCAUGCUGCCGUCUCCUUCUUGGGAUAUCGGAUUAGCCCGCAGGGAGUGGUUAUUGCGCAGAGGAAGGUAGACGCAGUCAGGUCAUGGCCAGUCCAAACCACCAUAAAAGGACUACAACGGUUUUUGGCGUUUGCCAACUCCUACUGAUGCUUCAAUAGGAACUUCAUUAGCAACUCUGCCUACUGAAGGGACGUUUCACCUCUGCCCCAUUGCAAAAACACCCAGAUCCUACGCUGCCCUUCAUGGUGGAGGUGGAUGCCUCAGAAGUGGUGUGGGGCCGUCCUGUCACAACUUCAAGGUUAUCCACAAAAAUUGGAACCAUGUGCAUUACUACCCUAAAAAGCUGUCUCCUGCUGAAAGGAACUAUGACGCCGGUGAUCAGGAGCUCAUGGCAGUGAAGUUGGCACUGGCUGGAGGGUGUCACGGACCCGUUUCUCAUCCUCCCCGACCAUCGGAACCUGGAGUAUGUACAGUGGUUCCUCCUUUAAAAGUUGCGAGCUUACACCGCGGGACUUAGAGAUAUCCAGUGUCACGGAUUCAUUGCUCCAGACCACCGCAAGGGGGAGUUAUUAGAGCACUCAUUAUGCAUUUGGGUCCCAAGGUUUUUAUGACCAAUCAUUUUGAGUGGUUCAAAUGACGAAUAUGAUGCGAGCCAUACGUCACUGGUGACUUUCUUCAGCAAAGACGGCUGACAAAAUAUUACGGGGAAGCAAAUGGACUCCUGAGAGAUCCAGCAAACCAGGCGGCCGCCUUGUGAAACAGUGGAUGUAAAGAAUCUAGCUAGCUAAACCAUUUACUGCAAAUUGAAUGUACAGUUGUGUAAGCUUGCCUUGCUUAUAUUUGCCAUGCAAUGCAGCAGAAGUAACAUAGCUAGCUAACUGUUUAUUUGCUUAUUGUGUAGUGGAGGAUAAAAAUAACUAUGCUUAUGGAUGUGUAGCUAGCUACAGUAUGUAGCCGAUCUGUGUAUGGAACCUAAAAUGUUUCGUAUGAAUAUUCGUUCAGAACCUAUGAACCUCAGUUAUCAUAGUAGUUGUGUCGACUUCAAGUCUGAAUGACAUUAAUGAAGCAUAUGGC